UACGUAGGGGGCUAGCGUUGUCCGGAAUCAUUGGGCGUAAAGCGCGUGUAGGCGGUUCGGUAAGUCCGCUGUGAAAGUCGGGGGCUCAACCCUCGGAUGCCGGUGGAUACUGUCGGACUAGAGUACGGAAGAGGCGAGUGGAAUUCCUGGUGUAGCGGUGAAAUGCGUAGAGAUCCGGAGGAAGACCGGUGGCGAAGGCGGUCUGCUGGGCAGUUUCUGACACUGAGGCGCGACAGCGUGGGGAGCAAACAGG
rnacentral:rRNA from 1 species